CUAACAUCAAGAAACAGAACAUUCCCGUCAUCCCAGAAACCUCUCUCCUAUUCCCUUGGAAUACCUACCCCACCCCACCCACCAAAGGCUGACUUCCAACACCACUGAUUAGUUUUACCUAUAUGGAAACCUUUAUGUAAAUGUAAUCAACCCACAUACUCUUCUGCAACUGGCCUUUUUGAUCAAUAUUAUAUUUGUGAGUCAUCUAUAUUUUUCCACGUGCACCAUCAUAGUUCAUUGAUUCACACUGCUGUAUAGUAUUCUUUCACAUGACCAUGCUAUAAUUUACCUAUUCUGAACAUCUGAGUAGUUUCCAAUCACUAAUAGGUUUUUAAUAGCUUGUGAUUUUGAGUGACUAGAUGUCAGGCUCUCCAAAAAGCUCUUUGUAAAAAGUAAGGUUAUGUUUUAUCACUGACAGAUGUUUUUAACCAAGGAUGUUGAAGAUUUCUCUUCUGUGAAGUUGAAAGUAUCACAAUCAAUUUGUGUGAUGGUUUCACCUCUAAUAGGAGUCCUAGAAAAAUAAUAACUAAAAAGUCAUUUGAGGGAGUUCUUUGGUGGUGUAGUGGUUAGGAUUUGGCACUUUCACUGCUGUGGCCUGAAUUCAAUCCCUGAUCUGGGAACUGAGAUCCUACAUCAAGUUGCUGCUCACUGUGGCCAAAGAAAGAAAAAAAGAAAGUCACUUGGAAUAAAUACAUGGGUAAAUUCUACAGGCAUCCCACUGAAUCUUCUCUUAGAACCGAUUACAGUUUCAAGAAAAUUUUGAUCUUUCAAGACAGCAAAUUAUAUUGAGAGAGAUGGACAACAGAGCAUGAUAAGAAAAAAGCUUUGCAUAAAAUGUCCCUCGUGCCAAAGAAGGGCUAGGAAGACCCCUUCAGGUAGCAAAUGCUUGUCAUUUUUUUCCCCAAAAUAUGAGAGAUGAAAAGGUGAUUUAAAUAGCUAAAAUAAUUUUCCUCUCUUCUGUUCCAAUCAUGGGGAGGGGGGCAGAGAGAGUGACAUAUGUAGACACAGUAAAUUUUCUCUGCCAUGAAUUUCUCGGUGGUGAUAAAUGAAAGUAUUUAUAUUACUGAAAAUGUCUGUGAACUCAUUUGGCCCCCAAUCACUGAAAUUUUAGCGGUUACUCCAGAUUUUUUUUUUAAACUAACUUUUCAUUACAGGGCUAACAUUUUUAAUUAGUAAAAUGAUAACAUUGAGAAUGCUGAUAACAUGGAGGAAGAUAUGGGAUGAGGCUGGACCUGUGGCCAGGGCUCAGAUUACACAGGGCUGUAAGUAAGAGGAACUUGGAUGUUCACUUACUUGGGACUAUGGACCAACUUCUAUAUUUUUAAAAGAACAGAAAUAAAAUGUCAAAAUACAUUUUAAACUUCUUCAAAUUAGGCAAAAAUAUGUUUUGCUCUCAUUGUUUAAAUCAAUGUGAUCUUUCAAGCAUAAAUUGUUGCGUUUAUUUUUUUUUUUACUCUUUUUGUCUUUUGAGGGCCGCACCCACAGCAUAUGGAGGUUCCAUGACUUUAUUUGCCUCUCACAACGGAAAAUGUGUAUGCGUUUGCGUGUUUUUAAGCUUGACAGGUAAACAUGCUGAGGUAGCCCAUGUUAACUCCUUUGAUCUCAGUUUUCUUGCUCAGCUGAAAGGCAACUACUUCCAAUCUGAACAUGAACAUCAUGUUUUCAGAUGACCUGCUUUGAAAAUGCCCUGACCGGGGUAUAUAACUGUUGACAAUUCCCCUUUGAUCACCAAAAGCAUCUUACAUUCAGUACAUCUGAGAUUAAACUCAUAAUCUUACCUCCAAACUAGGUCUUCUUCAGGGGUCUCUCAUUUGAAUGAUGGCAUCUCCAUCCCUGCAUCUGGAUAAGCCUGGACUCUAGAGCCCAUUCUUGGCAAUUUCUCUUCCUCACCUGCCAUAUGCAAUUCAUCUCAAGAUGUUAGCUCCCGAACAUCCCCUGAAUCCAUCCACUUCUCUCCGUCUCCAGGGCUUUCAACCCCAGUCAAAGCCACAUUUGUUUCUGAGCCAGGCCAUAACAAUAGCCUCCUGCCUGGUCUCUCUGCAUUCUUUCCUGAUACUCUAGUCUCUUAUUGAUAAGAGGCAUAUUCUGUUUUCCAGAUUGUCUAGCUGUGAUUUCCAACCAUCGUGCAUGUCAAAUCACCAAGCAUCCUCGCUAAAAUGCAGCAUCCACCUGUGGAGAUUCUGAUGCAUUAAGUUGUUUGCUUUUUGCCUUUUUAGGGCCGCACCCAUGGCAUAUGGAGAGUCCCAGGCUAGUGGUGGAAUCAGAGCUGUAGCUGCCAGCCUACACCACAGCCACAGCAACACAAGAUACGAGCCACGUUUGCAAAUUACACUGCUGCUCAUGGCAACACCAGAACCUUAACCCACAGGGUGAGGCCAUGGAUCGAACUUGCAUCCUCAUGGAUACUAAUUGGAUUAGUUUCCGCUGAACCACAACAGAAAAUCCUGAUGCAUUAAGUCUUGAGCAGGAUUCCAGAAUCUUGUAUAAGUAACAAGUACACUAAAAUGAUUUUAAUGCAGUGAGUCUGUGAAUUAGCAUUUGGGGAUCAGAGGCAACAGCUCACCAAUGCCAUACCUUGCCCAUUUAGAGAUAGCCGCAUAUGUUUCCCGCAUGAAUCAAGGGAUGAGGACCCAUCUGACAAAUAUUUCUGGAGUCCCCACUAUGUGCCAACUGAGGCACUUGGGAUAUAGUAGUGAAUAAAAUGGACAAAGAGAACAGACUCGCGAUUGCCAAGGAGGAGGAGGGUGGGGGGGUUGGAUUGGGAGUUUGGGACUAGCAGAUGCAAACUAUUACAUAUAGAAUGAAUAAACAACAGUCCUACUAUAUAACACAGGGACCUAUGUGCAAUAUCCUAUAAUAUACCAUAAUGGAAAAGAAUAUGUAUAUGUAAAACUGAAUCUCAACUAUACUUCAAUUAGAAAGAAAGAAAAAAAUCCCUGCCUUCAUGGAGCUUACAUUCUUACACUAGGAGACAAAGCAAAAGAAUAAAUAAGAUAUAUAGAAUGUUAGAUGGCAGUAAGUGGUACGGAAAAAAAAAUACAGCAAGCUGAAGGAUGGGGGGGAGAGAGCUGUGGAGGGAGGGACAGGUUGCCAUCAGAAUAGGAUGGUCAGGGAAGGCCUCCCUGGAAAAGCGGCAGUUGAAUAAAGACACCAAGGAGAGGAGGAGAGUGAGCCAUUCCGAUGACUUCAGGAAGCACGCGCAGUCCUGCAACUCUAGAAGAAGCAAGCAAACUUCGCUCUUCUAGUAUUCCCCAGGAGAAAGAUAUUCUCUGCAGAUACCCCUGGUCCUCAACCCCAUACUGGAGAAGACACUCGCAAUGAAAUGGUACGUCUCACCUCCAGGUCGCUGUUCAAGUGUUCCCUCUGCCUGAACACCUGCUCAGAACCCCUCAGCUUUGAAGCUUUACUAGCUCAGCCCUUUUAUGCUCUAUCACAUCUGGACAUCCUUCUACCACAGCAACUAAAAUACGGUAUUGGUUUUGUUUUGUUUUGUUUUGUUUCUGGUUGAUAUGCUUGUCUCCCCCACCUUCUAAGACCAGACUUCGGGCUGUUUAUCUUCAUCUGUUAUGGUAUCCUUACUGCAGAGCAAAGUAUUGGGCCAGAGGAGAUUUUUUUUUUUUUCCAUUUCAGGGCCACACCUGUGGCAUAUGGGGGUUCCUGGGGUUAAAAAGGAGCUGCCACUGAGGCCACAG
rnacentral:lncRNA from 9 species